GACGAACGCUGGCGGCGCGCCUAACACAUGCAAGUCGAACGAGCGAGAGGAGGUUUCCUUUCUCAAGCGAGUGGCGAACGGGUGAGUAACGCGUGAGGAACCUGCCUCAAAGAGGGGGACAACAGUUGGAAACGACUGCUAAUACCGCAUAAGCCCACGACCCGGCAUCGGGUAGAGGGAAAAGGAGCAAUCCGCUUUGAGAUGGCCUCGCGUCCGAUUAGCUAGUUGGUGAGGUAAUGGCCCACCAAGGCGACGAUCGGUAGCCGGACUGAGAGGUUGAACGGCCACAUUGGGACUGAGACACGGCCCAGACUCCUACGGGAGGCAGCAGUGGGGAAUAGUGCACAAUGGGGGAAACCCUGAUGCAGCGACGCCGCGUGGAGGAAGAAGGUCUUCGGAUUGUAAACUCCUGUUGUUGAGGAAGAUAAUGACGGUACUAAACAAGGAAGUGACGGCUAACUACGUG
rnacentral:rRNA from 1 species